rnacentral:rRNA from 1 species
ACGGAAGGCAGCAGUGGGGAAUAUUGGACAAUGGGGGCAACCCUGAUCCAGCGACGCCGCGUGAGUGAAGAAGUAUUUCGGUAUGUAAAGCUCUUUAAGCAGGGAAGAAAAUGACGGUACCUGCAGAAUAAGCCCCGGCUAACUACGUGCCAGCAGCCGCGGUAAUACGUAGGGGGCAAGCGUUAUCCGGAUUUACUGGGUGUAAAGGGAGCGUAGACGGCAAAUCAAGUCUGAAGUGAAAGCCCGCGGCUCAACUGCGGAACUGCUUUGGAAACUGAUUAGCUAGAGUGUCGGAGAGGUGAGUGGAAUUCCCAGUGUAGCGGUGAAAUGCGUAGAUAUUGGGAGGAACACCGGUGGCGAAGGCGGCUCACUGGACGAUAACUGACGUUGAUGCUCGAAAGCGUGGGGAGCAAACAGGAUUAGAUACCCUGGUA